UGUCCCCGCGCGAAUCGCCGCCCGCUGCGGCGGCGGUGCCUCCCCGGCAUGUGCUCCCGGGUGUGUCCCCUCGGGGACGGCCGGCGUCCCCCACCGCCGCCCCAAGAAAGGCGAGCGCCGGCCGGGGGCGAGGAGCCGGCCCGCUACCGGGCGAGCGGGGAGGAAACUCCGGCGGGCGGCAGAGGCGCUCCCGGGCGGGCGGCGGGGCGAUCCCGCCCGCGGGGCCGGGGGGAGGCCCCGCUCCGCCCGGGGUAGCGCGCAGGUAACAAGUUUCGGAGUUGAGGCUGCCGCGGCCGGGCGGGCGGCGGUCGCUCCCCCGCCGCUCCCCGCCCGGGCCGGAGGGCGGCGGCGCGGCCGGGGGCCCCCGAGCCCGCUGCCGGCGGCGGGGCGGUCGCGGGGCUUGAGGGGGAAGCAGCGUGUAACGGUCCCGGACAGUGGCGGAGUGCGGAGGCACCGCUAGGCGGAGGAGGGAGGCGGCGGCGAGGGAGGCUGCAGUGCUCGCCCGGAACCUUGUUGCCACGGGAGACGGGCGCUUUACGGCAGCGCGUUUGAACGGCGACGAGGGAAAAGUUGCACCCGCAGGGCUGAGCGAGAACCAACAGCUGCACCGCCGUGACGCCGUUCCCACCGUGCGCGAAGUCUGCCGCACUCGGGCUUUCCUGGGUCAUACUUCCCUGUUUUACAGAGAGGAGGAGAGGUAUAAAAAUUCUGUGCCUUAACGAAUAAA